AAGGGCACCACAAGAACGCGUGGAGCAUGUGGCUUAAUUUGACUCAACGCGGGAAAUCUUACCGGGUCCGGACACACUGAGGAUUGACAGAUAUAUUAUUAUAUGUAUUUUAAAUACAUAUAUUAGAAAGAUGCUAGUUCUUUCAUGAUUAUGUGAUAGGUGGUGCAUGGCCGUUCUUAGUUCGUGGAGUGAUCUGUCUGCUUAAUUGCGUUUCACUAAAGGCCUUAUUAUAUACAGUGUGUUGACACUUUGCAUUGACCCCUGCUCACUGAGUGGACGCGUGUCUUUGUUAUACUGUCUCAUACUAAUUUAGGCCUUGAAAGCAACGAACGUGACCGCAACCUCUUGUUGCCUUAUUACCAUAUAUAAUAAUUGUGUCUCUGUACACAUUUAUUGUAAUAAAGGCUAUUUUAUUUAUAUUAAACUAGAGGGACCGCUGUGAUCUUUUUUAAACCAGAGGAAGGUUGCGGCAAUAACAGGUCUGUGAUGCCCUUAGAUGUUCCGGGCUGCACACGUGCUACAAUGAUUAUUGCAGUGAGCAUCUCAUUUAUAACAGCUGUCUUGUGCGUGUAUUAAUUAUUUUUAUAAUAAUUAAAUUACAUUGUACACAACUAAGCCUACUUCGAGAGGUCAGUAGGUAACCAAUUAGAAGUAAUGAUUUCUAAUUUAUUAUGCACAACAAUAUGUGGCAUUUAUAUCCGGGUUGUAGCUUUGCCUAUAACUUUUGUGUGUAUAAAUGUAUUUUAUAUCCACAUGUGCAAUUAUUAAUUCAAGGUGGGGACAGACUAUUGUUAAUUGUUAGUCUCGGUCUUAACUAGGAAUGCCUUGUACGGGUUGGUUCAACAAACCACCCGGAAUACGUCCCUGCCCUUUGUACACACCGCCCGUCGCUCUUACCGAUGAACUUCUCUGUGAGUCUAAUGGACUAAUUAUAUAUAUUUUAUUAUAUAUAAUGGAAAAUUAUACGAACAGGGUGGUUUAAAGGAAAGAGAAGUCGAACAAGGC
rnacentral:rRNA from 1 species